UUCCAGUUGCUUGUAAUCUUCAUCGCUAAUGUUAUACUUGCCCUUGAGCCCGAUCUGCUGUUCUUUCAGUUUUCCACCCUGCUCCAUUUCAAACUCGGACUCGAGGGCAUCGAAGACAGCGGCUCCCACCAGCAGGCCUAGAAAUUCAAGUGAUGGAAGAUAGCCUUCUCAAUCUUCAAGAUCAGGACUAGAUUUGGAGUGGUUAGUCUGGAAGACUGAAGUGUAGUAUUGAAUUGAAGCAAGAGCGCGGGUUCGUUGCUCGUGCUGGCUGAGUUACCGGAAUGUAACCGUCGUCCAGGAUGUUGCUCCAUGGUCAAUCUUAAUACACAACCUGAGGUAAAGUCAUGAGGUUAUAUAAUAAUGGACCCACGUUUAAGCCUGUCCUCAACAGAUGCUCAUAUACUUUCGGCAGCAGAAACCUGAGUAAAUAUUCUUCACUCAAAAGGAACAUCGAGGUCAAUUCGAGUGCUUUCAGAUGAUUCCGCUGAACUUAAAGUAAUACAGAAACAGGUCGAAGGACGAUAUUGGGUUUCAGCCAGCAAUUCAUCGAAGGAGAGGCCAUCUGGGGAACUGGGCCGAUCAUUCUGACUCGGACCAGUGGGUAGCAAGAUUCCUUUUCGAUAUUACGCUUGCAUUGAAUGCAACUGUGUCAUUUGAUGGCACCAUUCUCUAAAAAUACUCUCCAAACUGCUUUAUUAGUGAUAUGGUUACUAUGUGUUUUGCUAUUUGCUGACUGCAUGUAACUUUUGUUAGGACGUCCUGGUCAACGAGAAGAGAAAGGCAGUGGUGAAAUGCCGGCAUCCCUCAUACCUAUGAAUAUUCGGGAAGAAUUCGAUUCCAUUUCAUAGUAUAUAAUUUGGGGCUACGAAUCCUCUCCGGCUGUAUGAAAUGAUUUAAUAGGACAGUCUCUGAAAUCAUAAAGAUAAUUAGAAAGGAAUAUAGUCUAUUACAAGCUGGAGUAAAUUUGUGGGAGAAAAUUCACCUUGAGGAUGUUUAUCCAAUAAUAGCAAUUGGAAGAUAGAUUAAUUUAAUCCUUACGUAGUUUGGAUUAAGUUAGUAAAGUUCCAUGCGAUCAGGUUAUGGGAUAUAUUGCAUUUGUAAGCAAAUGGUACAAAACUGUAUUGGUUAUUUGGUGGGGAAACUAUCUCAGAUCGAGCGGCAUGCUGUGAAUACAGCUUUUUGUCUGUAUUAAAGGAGUUAACUAGUCAGGAAAAUGCCUACGACCGAUUUUACAAACAUUGGAUACGUAAUUAGUGGGUUGCAUGUAUCUCUCCCGAUAAAACGAGAUCUUCCACAUAUUCCGGCGGUUGUAAAGAAAACUAUAAGCCGGUUUGUGACAAGUAAGCGGAAUAAUCCAGUCAUCUUUCAGGGUAACUAGCUUUAUCCCAGAUACUCAAUUUGAAUUUCAGAAUGUGCCCUGGGAAAGUUAUCAAAAUGGCAUACUGGCUUUUGUCAGACACUAUGGAAGUGCAUGUCUUCGAAUAGAUAUACCUAACAAUGCUAGAACUACCUCAGAGCCCCAUACAAAGGAACAAAGAUGACAAUUUUCGACUGCCUGCUUAUUAGUUAAAUUGUGUCCAUAGUUAAUCGUUGGCCAAACAAUGAUUAUAAUCCAAGUUGUUUCUGCUUAACCUCUCGGGACCCAUCUUUUGCUUAUUCAAAUACGAAGUGCUGCGGACGCUGGAGAUUCGAGAUAAAAUAGAAAAUGCUGGAAGCAUUGGGCAGUACUGGCAGCAAGUCGGAGGAGGGAAACAGGCAAUGCUCCAGGAAUGUGAUUUUCCGUUCGAAUAUCUGUCUCAAUAGCCUCUCUCUUUGUCUUACACAUCUUUUUAUUACAUAUUCUGCCAUCCAUCCUAUCCCAGAACUUCUCGUCUCUUCUUUCUCUCCUUUCCUGACUUAUGCCAACUCUGUAGUUGCCUAAAAUUGGAUACUUCUUCAACUUUUUUUAAAGUUCUGACAGAAGGUCAUCGAUCUGAAUCGUUAACCCUUUCCUUUGUCAUAGAUGAGCCUGGCUUGUUGAAUAUGUCCAGAUUUUUUAUACAUCAGAUUUGUAGCCACUUCAGUAUUUGCCCACUGUGCUACUUUCUAUCCAGUUUAUAUUGUGGCCUAGACAAGAAGCAGGUGAACAUUGCUAUCCUAAUGCUACGUAACUUUAGUUACUCUUGCAACAGUCGACCUACCUGUAUGUUUUGUGUUGGAUGCAACCAGUAGUUACAUCCGAUUAAGGACUUGGUCUUCAAACUACCCUUUAUGUGUUCCCUACAAAGUUACCCUUACUUGCAAGUGUCAGGGUAAACGAGAACAUUUGGGAGAUAAGAAAAUGGUGCCAUAAGAAGUUUGUGGGACCGUCUACAUCUUAACUUGUCUGCAAUAAUUCACUGCUGUGUGCCACACUACCUCCAAUUACACAGCAAGUGAGAAAUAUGUCAAACCUUCUCGUAAGCAAUAUUUGCUUGAAACCAGUGUGUGCUUUUGCGAAAUGCUGUGAUGUCGUCUGGCCUAGCUGGUCUACGCCUCAAAUAAGUAAACAGUAUUAAUUUGAUACCCCACACAAACUCUGAAGAAGAAAUGAUUUUUGCUCCCCCUUGAUCAAGUCUUAUUUCACCUGCAAGAAGAUGGCAAAUCGAUGGUUUUCAGAAAAAAAUUGGCAUCUUGACACCCGGCAAUAACAAUAGCGACAAUCACAAGAAAAUUCAUGAUUAGGCUCAUCCCCUUUCACCUACUAAAGAAGACCAUGGUAGAGCAUUGAGUGAUUCUCAAAUCAGUCAGGCGUUCUGACAAUCACAAUCUUGACAGUGUUUUCCGAAUUGAUCACUCUGGCGGCUGCCUUAAAAUUGUCACCUCAUGAUCAAAGCAAUAAAUUUUAUAAUAAUUGUCAGCAUUUACCUUUUCUAUGCUGUCCACUGUCAGCCAUAUUUCUAAAAUCACUUCUUAGAAAUCUUCUUCAUGGCUAAGGAACCCAAGACUAGCUAUUUUUCCUCAUAACAAAGGCUUCAUAGACAGAGGUCAGUCUUGCCUUCUUUGCAUAUCUCCAGGCAGUGAAUACACUGCACACCACCCCUCAUAUUUAUGUUUUCGUGCCUAGAGUUUGACCAAUGUACUUUACAAUUUAAUCAACAUUUCCGCUGAGUUGUAUUUUGAUAUUUUAGCUAGUUAUUACAGUACUUCAUUGGUUUUAUUGAUUACUGCUUUGUAUUGGUGAGAUGUUUUUGAACAUUGAUACUAAUCCUCCUGUUUUCAACAUUUUUGAUGAAU